UUCUCCUCUCUUUCUCUCAGAUCUAGAUCUGGAGCAAGCAUCAAUGAAAUUGAAAACACGCAGUGAUGAACACCGAUUUGAAGAAACCCGAACUGAAGGUUUCUUCCGGUCAUCUCUGCUGUGGUUUCUUCCAGUCUUCUCUGCUGUGGUUUCUUCCGAUCUGAAGGGGAAGACAGUGUUCGUCGUCAAGAACACCAAAAUAGCUAAGUUUUCUUUAUAUAUACAUCAGUUUUCUUUAAUAAGGUAAAGAACACCAAAAUAGCUAAGUUUUUAUUUGUGGUGAUUUCAGAAUUAUGAAAUUGGAGGUGGAUCUGGAACUUGUGUAGAGAUGAGCCGGUUGGUGUGGUUGGUGCAAUCACUCCAUGGAAUUUUCCCAUCGCAAUGAUUGCUCGUAAGGUUGGCCCUGCUCUUGCCUGUGGUUGUACUGUGGUCAUAAAGCCCUCUAAGCUCACACCAUUGACCACCUUAGCAGCAGCUGAGCUGGCCUUUCAAUCUGGAAUUCUACUUGUAAACCCACGUCAACCACAACUUUUUUUUUUAUCACUCAUCAAAUAAUGUCUAAUUACAUUUUUUUCCUCUGAAGGGUGUCUUAAGUGUGGUCAUGAGAGAUCCUGCUAGCAUUGGUGAUUCUCUACUAGAGAGCACACAUGUUUGUUUUUAUCAGAUAGUUUACAUUAAUUACGAUUUAUUGUAAUACGUGAUACCUCACAAGGUGUUCAUUAUUUUAUAUCUGUUGUUGUUUUUAUAAAAUAAAUUUAGGUCAGGAAGAUAACAUUUACUGGUUCCACCGGUGUUGGAAAGAAGCUGAUGGCUGGUGCACCAGAGACUGUUAAAAAGGUAGUUGUAGUAAAAUUAAUGUUUUAUGCUGCAAUCAUUAGUUUUGCCAAAAAAGGAAACUUGUAGGUAUCUCUUGAACUUGGUGGUAAAGCGCCUUGCAUAGUCUUCGAUGAUGCUGACCUGGAAUUGACAAUGAAGGGGAGCUUCAUAUACGGAUGAAUGGGUCAAACUGUUCAAACUAGUUAGAUGGUUUGCAGCAACCGGGUCAUUCAGUCACAUUUACUUUCUGUUUUAUUGGGUCUAAAUCAUGGGUCUGUUUUGUUUAGUUGAGUCAAAAUGUGGGAUCAUGGGCUUAGUUUAGUUGCUAGGGUUGUUUUUAAUUUGUUUUCUACACAUUCAAGUAGUGGCAUUUUAGGUAUUAAAAGUCUCGUGAGUCUCCAUUGUAUGUAGGUUUUGAUUUUAAGUUGUUUUGCGUUCAAUAUUUAUUAAAGAGUUGAGCAAUGGUUGUUGUUCAAUCGUUGUAGAAGCUAGCUACGCCACUAAAAACAAGCUUUACAAUCUUCAAUAUGCAAAGAUUUGCUAUAUUAGGAACACAACAUAUUAAACUCGUGUUUGAAGGCUAAAGUCGAAAAGAUUAUAGUUGUCUCUUCUAGAUCUGUUGUUAUGGUGAGUCUGGAAUGGUAGAUACCUGACAUUUGGUGAUGAAGAUGGUACUACAAUGAUAUGCGGUGUUUCUAAUGGUCGUUGUUUGAUCCUCUUGGGGGUUGUACAUCCUGUGUGUGGUCCCUUGCUUUCAGGUAAACUUUCCUUGUUAAUAUUAUAAACGUGUUUGAUGAAAAUGUAUAUCCAAACGACAUUCCUGGUGGUGACAACCUGACGAUUUAGGGUUCCGCUGCACUAGCCGGUGACGGCAGUUUGAAAUAAGUUAAUACUUUUUUAUAAUCAUUGCCGACGGUGCUAAUAAAUCUAUCAUAAUCAGGUUAGUUUGUUCAUUUAUUUAUGGGUGUGUAUUUUGGAAUUAGGUGAGAUUGAAUAUUAAAAACUGAUUAAUGAUUAUACAGAUUAUCGCUCUUAAAACACAUAUCAAACACCAUGUUUCGUCUCACUUUUACUUAAUAACCAAUUUAUAGUGGCAAACAGGACUUCAAGAACAUCAGGUUGUUUCAAGCCAGCAUCUAAACCUAACUUCGGUGCCAUGGACCAUUCACAGGUUUAGGCAAAAAUCGUUGCUUGAAGCCUUUGAUCGUUGAUGAUUUUCUAGACCAAGAACUGCAGCCGAGCUCUACAAAAAAGAUGAUGCAUGUAGCUCAAAGUAAUUUAGACCCAUUUGCAUACAAUGAGUCAAAGUAGGUUCUGCAAGGCAAACGGGUUGAAACGCUUUUAAAAUCCAUAAAGCCAAGUGUAACACAAUAAUUAUUAUCAAAUUUGUCUAUAACUUUGUUUUCCAAAGUGAUUAAUAUACUUGAAAAUUUUGUAAGUUGUUGUUUCUUGAAAGUUUGAUUUCUAGUUCCGCACAAUAUUUUCAUACCUGUUGAAAUCUAUUUGC